AUGAUGAGAUUGACUCUGAUUUCCCUCACCAUGUGCCUUCCUCACCUCCUCGCCACUCUUGUCUUCCAUUCUACCACUGCGGCUUCACCAAGCGCCACAGAAACAACAACAACAGCUCUAGACCUUAGUAUCAGCACUACAACAUCAGACCCCCUGAUACUUCCACUCUCCACAACUGAAAACCACCCUGGUAGGACUAGUGGCAUGUUCAACACACAAGGGAAGAAAAGCGCUAGCUUAGCAGCUGUCAACAAAUCAGGCAGAACGACUCAAGGAAGAGGCAUUCUCAGAACAGGAACUGCCACUUACGCCACCACAGCCGUACAGAAGAACAACAGGCACAUAACUGCAGGAGACUUGAGGAGGGAAACAGAGAGCCACAAUCACCAUGAGACUCUUCCCUUCGGCAGACACAAAGUCUCACCCACAACUGACCACCCCAGCACCACCUCUCUCCCCGGGGAGGAAGGGACUGAGUAUCAUGACAGCAGCACCACUGAAACAGCCAGAGAACGGAGCACACCAAAUUCCAUAGAGACAUGGGCUGCUGACACCAUUAAUGACUCCAGGCUAGCAAAGCCACACUUAGACAGGUCACAAGCAGCAGACCAGCACACUGCUACACAAGGACUAGAGAUUGCAACAGGAGAUUACUACACAACACAGAGAGACUUCUUCACAAUCACCCCAACUAGUAGAGUGACAGGUUUGAACAGGGGUAAACAAAGUAAGGCCAACAGCUUCACAACAACAACAACAACAACAACGUUUUCACCUACGUACACAGUCACACAUCCUGGUUUGUAUGAGCACAUGACUGUGACUUACAGGGCUACCGGCUACAAAACACAACCUGACGACACAAGCCAGUCUAUGGCCAACCAGGACCACACCACAGCCACAGUUUCAAUCCCCCAUGCUGACAAUAGGACAACUCCAGAUAUCAAUGCAAACACGUUUACAGAUAAUGACACAGACAACUACACAGACACACUUUCAUACAGUAAUCCCACAACCUCUAAUAAUGGUAACACCACAGUACUUUUGAAGAAGAAAACGCAUUCAUUCGGACACAACCACACAAUCUCAGGCUAUGACAACAGGCUGAACAACACAACUGAAAACACUGUGCAUCAUCGUCCUGAGUGCGGAGAGGCAGACGAAAGGUCCCCAUCGUUGCUUCCUGGCUCUACUAGACUGGUUUGUUUCAUUGUUCUGUGUGCUCUGGGAUUGACUGCUUCUGUCUUCCUUGGUCUCACUGUCUUCCUGUGGGUGCGUUUGUCAGUCCAGAGAGAGAGGGAAAAGAGAGUGAGGAGAGGAGGAGAGGAGGUGUCAGGGGUGGAUCUGGAGAACCUGUGGGUUGACCAGAUGUCAUCGGUGGAGGAGAGGGUCGAAUUCUGGUACGCCAACGGCUCCACCAUGGGACCCGGCCAUAAACGGAGGGAGAGAGGGAGAGAGAGGGGGAAGGAGAGGGGGAGGAGGGAGCAGGGGAGGCAGAAAGGGGUAGAGUGUGACAACCUGUGGACUCAACCCAAAGUGACACUGGAGGACAUCACUGAUUUCUGGUAUGCAAAUGGAAGAGCGAUACCAGAAGAAACUACAGACCAAACGUUGUUGGAGACCUGCGUAUGA
rnacentral:lncRNA from 13 species